rnacentral:lncRNA from 1 species
UGAAGGCUAUAUCAAAUUACCAUUUAAUUACCUAAUUUUUUACUGAUUACUAUUGUCUUAUUUCCCUUUCAAUGAUAUUUUAUGUAAACUUUGAACAAAUAUAUCAACACUACUAAAAGUUUCUAAUAUUAAACUAACAGGAAAGAUGAGGCACUCAAUAAAAAUUCAAGAUUAUGCUGCUAACCUUUUAGACAAGAAGACUAUUGAAAAAUUGAAACCUACCCCAAUCCCUGCUGAUACACAUCAUUUGAAAAGGUUUUGUUGAUUCAGUGAAACAGUGAUUAGUUCUCUCUAUAGUGACGAAUUUUUUUUGGGUUAAAGAAUAAUGAUUUAUGGAUUUGGGAGAAGCAACUGCGGAUUGUUAAUUGCUGUGAGUCCAAAGGACCCACAGUCUUAUGGACCAUUCCUAAGGACGAAUAGGAUCGGUCCUUAGACUAGACCUGGAACGAAUAAAUAAAGUCUGACACAACACUAAUUACUACAACAGUUAUAAUCUUUUGGACACCUGCUUCUUUUUUUCGACGAUAUCAACUUCUUUUCCACAUUAUCGCUCAUCAGGGUUGAUCUUAUCUAGUGUUACAUAUAAUUUAUAUUUUAAUAAAUUUCAAAAUUUA